UACAGAGGUCCCAAGCGUUGUUCGGAUUCAUUGGGCGUAAAGGGCGCGUAGGCGGACAGUUUAGUCAGAGGUGAAAGCCCAGGGCUCAACCUUGGAAUUGCCUUUGAUACUGACUGUCUUGAGUUCGGGAGAGGUGAGUGGAAUGCCGAGUGUAGAGGUGAAAUUCGUAGAUAUUCGGCGGAACACCAGUGGCGAAGGUGACUCACUGGCCCGAUACUGACGCUGAGGUGCGAAAGCGUGGGGAGCAAACAGG
rnacentral:rRNA from 1 species